rnacentral:rRNA from 1 species
CACGUAGGGGGCAAGCGUUGUCCGGAUUUAUUGGGCGUAAAGAGCUCGUAGGCGGCUCAGUAAGUCAGGUGUGAAACCUCCAGGCUCAACCUGGAGACGCCACCUGAUACUGCUGUGGCUAGAGUCCGGUAGGGGAGCGUGGAAUUCCUGGUGUAGCGGUGAAAUGCGCAGAUAUCAGGAGGAACACCAGCGGCGAAGGCGGCGCUCUGGGCCGGAACUGACGCUGAGGAGCGAAAACGUGGGUAGCAAACAGG